rnacentral:rRNA from 1 species
GACGAACGCUGGCGGCGUGCUUAACACAUGCAAGUCGAACGUGAUUUUUGUGGAAAUUCUUUCGGGAAUGGAAAUGAAAUGAAAGUGGCGAACGGGUGAGUAACACGUGAGCAACCUACCUUACACAGGGGGAUAGCCGUUGGAAACGACGAUUAAUACCGCAUGAGACCACAGAAUCGCAUGAUAUAGGGGUCAAAGAUUUAUCGGUGUAAGAAGGGCUCGCGUCUGAUUAGCUAGUUGGAAGGGUAAAGGCCUACCAAGGCGACGAUCAGUAGCCGGUCUGAGAGGAUGAACGGCCACAUUGGAACUGAGACACGGUCCAAACUCCUACGGGAGGCAACAGUGGGGAAUAUUGCACAAUGGGGGGAACCCUGAUGCAGCGACGCCGCGUGAGCGAAGAAGGUUUUCGAAUCGUAAAGCUCUGUCCUAUGAGAAGAUAAUGACGGUAGCAUAGGAGGAAGCCCCGGCUAAAUACGUG